AGGUCAGAAAGCAGCAGUCAGAGCUCCACCACCAAUCAUGGAGUCAACCAGACAGACAGUCAAGUUUACAGCUCUCUGCUGCACGGGGAUACUUCUGAGUAUGAGUCAAUCCAACGAGCCACAAACAAAGGGGGCCCUGAUGACCUAGACGAGGAUCCUGUUUACACUAAUAUGAAAGCAGAAACCACAGGAGGAAGCUGAAGUACCCAGAGAGAACCCACAUCCACAGGGAGAACAUGCAAAAUCCAUGCAGAAAGUCCACGUGCUGAGAAUUGAACCCGGAACCUUCUUGUGGCAAGAAAGCAGUGUUACCCACUGCUGCACUGAACAUCCCAUUUUGUAGAUAUGAUUGUUUUUUUUUUUAAAUAAUGCAAUAAAGCAAAUCUGAUUUUUUUAGAAAUUCUCAUUUUUGGACAUUAAGAACCUUUAAUUGGUUUUAAAAUAUGUGUAGUUAUGCUUCAAUGUUUACAUACCCUUCCAUUAAAGAAAGAAAAAAAAAAGCCUGCAAGUAAAAUAAAUAGAAAAUGACCAAAGACAUAAUGCAUAAAAAUGAUUAAAAAAACAGAAAUUGUGGCAUUAAUUUUGAAUAAAUAGAUAUAAAUCCAUAUGUAUAUAACAUGCAAGGAGUAUACAAACCUGUUUGAGCUUAUGAACUAAAAUUUUGUUGAGCAACUCUUUGAGGCAGUAAUCACUGAAAUCAGGUGUUUUCUGUAAUGUUCAGGAAAUGUUCAGUCAGACUUCUGCACCUUUUGACAGGUAUGUUGGUUCACUGUUAAUGAGCAAAGUAGUCUAUUUGUUCUGGCAUAAUUGUUUUUUUUUUAGAAUAAUUUUAAAAUUAAAACUUCAAAAUUAAUAUUUUAUUUUAUUCAAUUAUCACUUAGUCAUAUUUAUUUAUUUACAAGUAGAGAGUGUUGGCCUACUGGUCAGAAUAAAAUUAAAGUAAGUUAAAACUAAAUAU